AGACCUGCAAAGUUUCAUGAAAACAUAUUGAACAGUUUCUGAGUUAAGCUCCAGAAACGAAAUGUGACGGACGGAGCCCGUUUCUAUAUCCCCCGCCAACUUUGUUGGGCAGGGGAUAAAAAGUAAUAAUUUUAUCUUAAUGUCGCAGGUUAAGUUUUACUAAUAUGUUAAUUAUGUCACCAACUUGUUCCCAUAUCUAAUAUUGGCUUGAACAGGCCACCUUAACUGUGGUCUGUCAGGUACAUCCUGGGCCCUGGCACAUGCAGUCCCUGCAAAUGAUGUAGAGGCAGGUCACAUGACUGUCCUCUAUAUAGACUGCAUGUGUUAGGAACCCAGCACACACCAUGCCGGACCACCAAGCCAUAUAGCAUGUCGCUUUGUUAUAAUUGCAGGACUCAUCAUAAAUAAAACAUCAGCCCAGAACGAGAACUUUGUUGUUCCUGUGACAUUAUGGCGCCCAACGUGGGGCUGAUGUAGGAAUGAAGACCUGUGGCUUGUGUGGCCGUGACGUCAUCGUAUCCCUGUGGUUGUAAUCACAGCAGCUGCAGUCUCUGCAUGGAUGGAGAAAUUCUUUUCGCGUGUUGAGAUAUUCAGUUGGAAGUGGUAGGGCCCGUACCCCAUGGGGAAAUUAUGAUUGACAUCGCCGGCAUCAUGUGUACACUCGCGUUAUUGCGUUCGCGUUCCUAAGUUUGUUGUUGUUGUUUUAGUUGUUUUUUUCUUUUUGUGCCAGGACAAUAACUUUCUGUUCACGGACUUCGCUGAGGUGCAAGUGACUUUAUACUUUUCAUUGUGUUUACUUGACAUUGUGAUGUCAGCAUGUGACUUUGCAU